AACACGUAGGCAACCUGCCCUGAAGCGGGGGAUAACAUCUGGAAACAGGUGCUAAUACCGCAUAACAACGAAAACCACAUGGUUUCGUUUCAAAGAUGGUUUCGGCUAUCACUUCAGGAUGGGCCCGCGGUGCAUUAGCUAGUUGGUAAGGUAACGGCUUACCAAGGCGAUGAUGCAUAGCCGAGUUGAGAGACUGAUCGGCCACAAUGGAACUGAGACACGGUCCAUACUCCUACGGGAGGCAGCAGCU
rnacentral:rRNA from 1 species